rnacentral:rRNA from 1 species
UACAGAGGAGCCAAGCGUUGUCCGGAUUGACUGGGCGUAAAGCGCACGCAGGCGGUUGCGCGCGUGGGGUGUGAAAUCUGGCCGCUUAACGGCCAGGCGCCAUCCCAUACGGCGCGACUGGAGUGAUGCAGAGGUCGAUGGAAUUGCCGGUGUAGUGGUGAAAUGCGUAGAUAUCUGGAGGAACACCGGUGGCGAAGGCGGCGUUCUGGACUGCAACUGACACUGAGGAACGAAAGCCAGGGGAGCAAACGGG